AGUGAACGCUGGCGGUAGGCCUAACACAUGCAAGUCUAACGGCAGCACAGGAGAGCUUGCUCUCUGGGUGGCGAGUGGCGGACGGGUGAGGAAUACAUCGGAAUCUACUCUGUCGUGGGGGAUAACGUAGGGAAACUUACGCUAAUACCGCAUACGACCUACGGGUGAAAGCAGGGGAUCUUCGGACCUUGCGCGAUUGAAUGAGCCGAUGUCGGAUUAGCUAGUUGGCGGGGUAAAGGCCCACCAGGGCGACGAUCCGUAGCUGGUAUGAGAGGAUGAUCAGCCACACUGGAACUGAGACACGGUCCAGACUCCUACGGGAGGCAGCAGUGGGGAAUAUUGGACAAUGGGCGCAAGCCUGAUCCAGCCAUACCGCGUGGGUGAAGAAGGCCUUCGGGUUGUAAAGCCCUUUUGUUGGGAAAGAAAUCCAGCUGGCUAAUACCCGGUUGGGAUGACGGUACCCAAAGAAUAAGCACCGGCUAACUUCGUGCCAGCCGCCGCGGUAA
rnacentral:rRNA from 1 species